rnacentral:rRNA from 2 species
AGAGUUUGAUCCUGGCUCAGGAUGAACGCUGGCGGCGUGCCUAAUACAUGCAAGUCGAGCGAACGGACGAGAAGCUUGCUUCUCUGAUGUUAGCGGCGGACAGGUGAGUAACACGUGGAUAACCUACCUAUAAGACUGGGAUAACUUCGGGAAACCGGAGCUAAUACCGGAUAAUAUUUUGAACCGCAUGGUUCAAAAGUGAAAGACGGUCUUGCUGUCACUUAUAGAUGGAUCCGCGCUGCAUUAGCUAGUUGGUAAGGUAACGGCUUACCAAGGCAACGAUGCAUAGCCGACCUGAGAGGGUGAUCGGCCACACUGGAACUGAGACACGGUCCAGACUCCUACGGGAGGCAGCAGUAGGGAAUCUUCCGCAAUGGGCGAAAGCCUGACGGAGCAACGCCGCGUGAGUGAUGAAGGUCUUCGGAUCGUAAAACUCUGUUAUUAGGGAAGAACAUAUGUGUAAGUAACUGUGCACAUCUUGACGGUACCUAAUCAGAAAGCCACGGCUAACUACGUGCCAGCAGCCGCGGUAAUACGUAGGUGGCAAGCGUUAUCCGGAAUUAUUGGGCGUAAAGCGCGCGUAGGCGGUUUUUUAAGUCUGAUGUGAAAGCCCACGGCUCAACCGUGGAGGGUCAUUGGAAACUGGAAAACUUGAGUGCAGAAGAGGAAAGUGGAAUUCCAUGUGUAGCGGUGAAAUGCGCAGAGAUAUGGAGGAACACCAGUGGCGAAGGCGACUUUCUGGUCUGUAACUGACGCUGAUGUGCGAAAGCGUGGGGAUCAAACAGGAUUAGAUACCCUGGUAGUCCACGCCGUAAACGAUGAGUGCUAAGUGUUAGGGGGUUUCCGCCCCUUAGUGCUGCAGCUAACGCAUUAAGCACUCCGCCUGGGGAGUACGACCGCAAGGUUGAAACUCAAAGGAAUUGACGGGGACCCGCACAAGCGGUGGAGCAUGUGGUUUAAUUCGAAGCAACGCGAAGAACCUUACCAAAUCUUGACAUCCUUUGACAACUCUAGAGAUAGAGCCUUCCCCUUCGGGGGACAAAGUGACAGGUGGUGCAUGGUUGUCGUCAGCUCGUGUCGUGAGAUGUUGGGUUAAGUCCCGCAACGAGCGCAACCCUUAAGCUUAGUUGCCAUCAUUAAGUUGGGCACUCUAAGUUGACUGCCGGUGACAAACCGGAGGAAGGUGGGGAUGACGUCAAAUCAUCAUGCCCCUUAUGAUUUGGGCUACACACGUGCUACAAUGGACAAUACAAAGGGCAGCGAAACCGCGAGGUCAAGCAAAUCCCAUAAAGUUGUUCUCAGUUCGGAUUGUAGUCUGCAACUCGACUACAUGAAGCUGGAAUCGCUAGUAAUCGUAGAUCAGCAUGCUACGGUGAAUACGUUCCCGGGUCUUGUACACACCGCCCGUCACACCACGAGAGUUUGUAACACCCGAAGCCGGUGGAGUAACCUUUUAGGAGCUAGCCGUCGAAGGUGGGACAAAUGAUUGGGGUGAAGUCGUAACAAGGUAGCCGUAUCGGAAGGUGCGGCUGGAUCACCU